rnacentral:tRNA from 1 species
AAGCCCAGACAUCAUCAAAGAUGCUAUUUCCAGAUUUGCAAUCCAGCGCAUAAUACCUCAAGGCU